CCCAUGGGUGGAGUCUCGCUUUUUCUUUCCAGUGUUGGCUGACUUACAGCUCCUAUAAACUAGUGGCAAUUUCUGCACCCCAGCCUGCUCCCUUUCAGUUUCUGAUUUCUAAGUCCAUGUGUCCAGGGCUGCCAGAAAGGAGGCGUAUUCCUGAGUCCCGGCCGUCCUCCCCUCUGGACGUGUUCUACGGCGGGCGUUUGUGGUUUGGUGGAGGAGCGCCCACCCAGCAUGGACCUCAUCGCAUUGCUGAAGUCUCAGUUCCUGUGCCAUCUCAUCUUUUGUUACGUGUUUAUCGCCUCGGGGCUCAUCAUCAACACCAUUCAGCUCUUCACUCUCCUCCUCUGGCCAAUUAACAAGCAGCUCUUCCGGAAGAUCAACUGCCGGCUGUCCUACUGCAUCUCCAGCCAGCUGGUGAUGCUGCUGGAAUGGUGGUCGGGCACGGAGUGCAUCAUCCACACGGACCCCCGGGCCUACCCCAAGUACGGGAAGGAAAACGCCAUCGUUGUUCUGAACCACAAGUUUGAGAUCGACUUUCUCUGCGGUUGGAGCCUGGCCGAGCGCUUCGGGGUCUUAGGGGGCUCCAAGGUCCUGGCCAAGAAGGAGCUGGCCUACGUCCCCAUAAUCGGCUGGAUGUGGUACUUCACGGAGAUGGUCUUCUGCACGCGCAAGUGGGAGCAGGACCGCAAGACCGUCUCGGAGAGCCUGCUUCACCUGCAGGACUACCCUGAGAAGUACUUCUUCCUGAUUCACUGCGAGGGCACGCGGUUCACGGAGAAGAAGCACCAGAUAAGCAUGCAGGUGGCCCAGGCCAAGGGGCUGCCCAGCCUCAAGCACCACCUGCUGCCUCGCACCAAGGGCUUCGCCAUCACCGUGAGGAGUUUGAGAAAUGUAGUUUCAGCUGUAUAUGACUGUACACUCAAUUUCAGAAAUAAUGAAAAUCCAACACUGCUGGGAGUCCUAAAUGGAAAGAAAUAUCACGCAGAUUUAUACGUUAGGCGGAUCCCUUUAGGAGAAGUCCCAGAAGAUGAGGACAGGUGCGCGGCCUGGCUGCACAAGCUCUACCAGGAGAAGGACGCCCUCCAGGAGGAGUACUCCCGCACGGGCACCUUCCCCGGGACGCCCAUGGUGCCCCCGCGGCGGCCCUGGACGCUCCUCAACUGGCUGUUCUGGGCCUCGCUGCUGCUCUACCCGUUCUUCCGCUUCCUCGUCAACAUGGUCAGCAGCGGCUCCUCCCUGACGUUGGCCAGCUUCGUCCUCGUCUUCUUCGUGGCUUCCGUGGGGGUCCGAUGGAUGAUUGGUGUCACAGAAAUUGACAAGGGCUCCGCCUACGGCAACAUGGACAGCAAGCAGAAACCCAGCGACUGACCCAGGAUGCACCACCACCCAGAGGGGACCCUGGAGGACUGGUGGACACGGCCAUCAUCCUUGGAGGGACCCAGUGAUGGAGCUGGCGAGGAGAUUCUAGACCCUGAAGGAACUCCUAACCCAGCGCCCACCUUCAGCACACUUGAUUGUACCCCUUCCUUUGAGGAACACAUGAGUAACAAGGAGAGACCUCUGUAUCAGAUAAUGUGUUGGCUCUGAAGCUGACAACC